rnacentral:rRNA from 1 species
AUACGUAGGUGGCGAGCGUUGUCCGGAAUUAUUGGGCGUAAAGAGCAUGUAGGCGGUUUUUUAAGUCCGGAGUGAAAAUGCGGGGCUCAACCCCGUAUGGCUCUGGAUACUGGAAGACUUGAGUGCAGGAGAGGAAAGGGGAAUUCCCAGUGUAGCGGGGAAAUGGGUAGAUAUUGGGAGGAACACCAGUGGCGAAGGCGCCUUUCUGGACUGUGUCUGACGCUGAGUGGCGAAAGCCAGGGUAGCGAACGGGAUUAGAUACCCCGGUAGUCCUGGCCGUAAACGAUGGGUACUAGGUGUAGGAGGUAUCGACCCCUUCUGUGCCGGAGUUAACGCAAUAAGUACCCCGCCUGGGGAGUACGUCCGCAAGGAUGAAACUCAAAUGAAUUGACGGGG